UCCGGUAUGGUGUAUCGGUUAACAUAUGUGCUUUUCAUAAUGGUCAAUUAUUGUGGUUAACGCACGUGCGCGGGGUUCGACUCCCCGUACCGGAA